rnacentral:rRNA from 1 species
AGUGGAUGGGGAGCAACCUAGUUGUGCGUGUGUAAAGGUAGUGCCAAGAAAAGCGAUGAUCAUGUUGAAAAUCAAUUCCCGGUACCCGAAACCGACACAGGUGGGCAAGUAGAGAAUACUAAGGGGCGCGAGGUAACUCUCUCCAAGGAACUCGGCAAAAUGACCCCGUAACUUAGGGAGAAGGGGUGCCACCGAGAGGUGGUCGCAGUGAAGAGGCCCAGGCGACUGUUUAGCAAAAACAUAGGUCUCUGCAAACUCGAAAGAGGAGGUAUAGGGGCUGACGCCUGCCCAGUGCCGGAAGGUUAAAGAAGUUGGUCAGUUUUAGGAUGAAGCUAGCGACUGAAGCCCCGGUGAACGGCGGCCGUAACUAUAACGGUCCUAAGGUAGCGAAAUUCCUUGUCGGGUAAGUUCCGACCCGCACGAAAGGCGUAACGAUCUGGGCGCUGUCUCGGAGAGGGGCUCGGCGAAAUAGGAUUGUCUGUGAAGAUACGGACUACCUGCAUUUGGACAGAAAGACCCUAUGAAGCUUUACUAUAGCUUGGAAUUGUGUUCGGGCUUCCUGUGCGCAGGAUAGGUGGGAGGCGUAGAAGGUAUUCUUGUGGGGAUACUGGAGCCAACGGUGAGAUACCACUCUCAGGAGGCUAGAAUUCUAACUUAAUUAAGGACAGUUUCAGGUGGGUAGUUUGACUGGGGCGGUCGCCUCCAAAAAGGUAACGGAGGCGUACAAAGGUUCCCUCAGACUGGUUGGAAAUCAGUCGAAGAGUGCAAAGGCAGAAGGGAGCUUGACUGCGAGAAGUACAGUUCGAGCAGGGUGGAAACACGGUCUUAGUGAUCCGACGGUGCUGUGUGGAAGGGCCGUCGCUCAACGGAUAAAAGUUACUCUAGGAUAACAGGCUGAUCUCCCCCAAGAGUUCACAUCGACGGGGAGGUUUGGCACCUCGAUGUCGGCUCAUCGCAACCUGGGGCGGAAGUACGUCCCAAGGGUUGGGCUGUUCGCCCAUUAAAGCGGUACGUGAGCUGGGUUCAGAACGUCGUGAGACAGUUCGGUCCAUAUCCGAUGUAGGCGUGAGAAUAUUGAGAGGAGCCUUCCUUAGUACGAGAGGACCGGGAAGGACGCACCGCUGGUGUACCUGUUAUGAUGCCAAUUGUAAACGCAGGGUAGCCAAGUGCGGAGAGGAUAACCGCUGAAAGCAUCUAAGUGGGAAGCCCACCUCAAGAUGAGUAUUCUGGUGUAAGGUCACGGGAAGACGACCCGUAAAUAGGCACGAGGUGGAAGUGCAGAGAUGUAUGAAGCCGAAGUGUACUAAUAGACCGUCGGCUUGACC